rnacentral:rRNA from 1 species
CCUACGGGAGGCUGCAGUGGGGAAUAUUGGACAAUGGGCGAAAGCCUGAUCCAGCCAUGCCGCGUGUGUGAAGAAGGCCUUCGGGUUGUAAAGCACUUUCAGUGGGGAAGAAAGCCUUGGGGCUAAUACCCUCGAGGAAGGACAUCACCCACAGAAGAAGCACCGGCUAACUCCGUGCCAGCAGCCGCGGUAAUACGGAGGGUGCGAGCGUUAAUCGGAAUUACUGGGCGUAAAGCGCGCGUAGGCGGUCUGAUAAGCCGGUUGUGAAAGCCCCGGGCUCAACCUGGGAACGGCAUCCGGAACCGGCAGGCGAGAGUGCAGGAGAGGAAUGUAGAAUUCCCGGUGUAGCGGGGAAAUGCGUAGAGAUCGGGAGGAAUACCAGUGGCGAAGGCGGCCUUCUGGACUGACACUGACGCUGAGGUGCGAAAGCGUGGGUAGCAAACAGGAUUAGAUACCCCUGUAGUC